rnacentral:rRNA from 1 species
UACAGAGGGUGCAAGCGUUAUUCGGAUUUACUGGGCAUAAAGGGUGCGUAGGUGGCUUUUUAAGUCUGAUGUGAAAGCCCUCGACUCAAUCGAGGAAGUGCAUUGGAUACUAUCAAGCUAGAGUAUGGGAGAGGAGAACGGAAUUUCUGGUGUAGAGGUGAAAUUCGUAGAUAUCAGAAGGAACAACGAAGGCGAAAGCAGUUCUCUGGACCAUUACUGACACUGAGGCACGAAAGCGUGGGGAGCAAACAGG